GCUGGGUGCAAUGGCGCAUGCCUGUAGUCCCAGCUACUUGGGAGGCUGAGGUGGGAGGACUGCUUGAGCCAGGAGUUCUGGGUGAUCGGGUGUCCGCACUAAGUUCGGCAUCAAUAUGGUGACCUCCCGGGAGCGGGGAACCACCAGGUUGCCUAGGAGGGGUGAACCAGCCCAGGUCAGAAACGGAGCAGGUCAAAACUCCAAUGCUGAUCAGUAGUGGGAUAGCUCCUGUGAACAGCCACUGCACUCCAGCCUGGGCAACAUAGCAAGACCCCGUCUCU
rnacentral:SRP_RNA from 1 species